rnacentral:rRNA from 1 species
AGCGAACGCUGGCGGCAGGCCUAACACAUGCAAGUCGAACGAACCUUUCGGGUUGAGUGGCGGACGGGUGAGUAACACGUGGGAACGUGCCUUUAGGCUCGGAAUAACUCAGGGAAACUUGUGCUAAUACCGAAUGUGCCCUUCGGGGGACUGAUUUAUCGCCUUUAGAGCGGCCCGCGCCUGAUUAGCUGGUGGGGUGAGGUAAUGGCCCACCAAGGCGACGAUCAGUAGCUGGCCUGAGAGGAUGUUCAGCCACAUUGGGACUGAGACACGGCCCAAACUCCUACGGGAGGGAGCAGUGGGGAAUCUUGCGCAAUGGGCGAAAGCCUGACGCAGCCAUGCCGCGGGAAUGAUGAAGGUCUUAGGAUUGUAAAAUUCUUUCACCGGGGACGAUAAUGACGGUACCCGGAGAAGAAGCCCCGGCUAACUUCGUG